UACGAGGGGGGGCGAGCGUUUGUUCGGAAUUAUUGGGCGUAAAGGGCGCGUAGGCGGUGCGGUAAGUCACCUGUGAAACCUCUGGGCUCAACUCAGAGCCUGCAGGCGAAACUGCCGUGCUAGAGUGUGGGAGAGGUGCGUGGAAUUCCCGGUGUAGUGGUGAAAUGCGUAGAUAUCGGGAGGAACACCAGUGGCGAAGGCGACUUCCUGGCCUGUUCUUGACGCUGAGGCGCGAAAGCUAGGGGUAGCAAAACGGG
rnacentral:rRNA from 1 species